rnacentral:rRNA from 1 species
CCUACGGGUGGCAGCAGUGAGGAAUAUUGGUCAAUGGACGAGAGUCUGAACCAGCCAAGUCGCGUGAAGGAUGACUGCCCUAUGGGUUGUAAACUUCUUUUAUAAAGGAAUAAAACGAGGCACGUGUGCCUUUUUGCGUGUACUUUAUGAAUAAGGAUCGGCUAACUCCGUGCCAGCAGCCGCGGUAAUACGGAGGAUCCGAGCGUUAUCCGGAUUUAUUGGGUUUAAAGGGCGCGUAGAUGGGUUGUUAAGUCAGGUGUGAAAGGUUGCGGCUCAACCGUAAAAGGGCCAUUGAGACUGGCAGUCUUGAGUACAGGUGAGGUAGGCGGAAUGCGUGGUGUAGCGGUGAAAUGCUUAGAUAUCACGAAGAACCCCGAUUGUGAAGGCAGCUUACUAAACUGUGACUGACAUUGAGGCUCGAAAGUGUGGGUAUCAAACAGGAUUAGAUACCCUUGUAGUC